GGAUGCGAUCAUACCAGCACUAAAGCACCGGAUCCCAUCAGAACUCCGAAGUUAAGCGUGCUUGGGCGAGAGUAGUACUAGGAUGGGUGACCUCCUGGGAAGUCCUUGUGUUGCAUUGC
rnacentral:rRNA from 1 species